UACGGAGGGUGCAAGCGUUGCUCGGAAUUAUUGGGCGUAAAGGGUAGGUAGGUGGUCUCAUUUGUCUGGGGUGAAAUCCUUGAGCUUAACUCAAGAAGUGCCUCAGAAACGGUGAGACUAGAGUUCUGGAGAGGGUCGUGGAAUUCCCGGUGUAGCGGUGAAAUGCGUAGAGAUCGGGAGGAACACCGGAGGCGAAGGCGGCGACCUGGACAGAUACUGACACUAAACUACGAAAGCGUGGGGAGCAAACAGG
rnacentral:rRNA from 1 species